UAAAUGAGAAUUGGGUUUUGAAAACCCUAAAACAGAAACACGCUCAAACGUGUUCUCAUCUUCUUCCUCUCUCUAUCUGUACGUGAACAAACAGCAACAACUUACGAAAAGCUCUCGCUCUCCGCCUCUCUCGGUUCUCACUCGAUUCUCUGUGUGGUUGUUGUGAUUAUGAGUUUUGGCUGAGUUUGGUUUUGCUUGUGGGAUUUUGAGCGCGAGACUCUCGUGAGAGAGUAUAUCUGAGGCAAGGUUUCGUGGCUGUUGUCGUUUUUUUAGGUUGAGGUUGAAGUUUGUGAGAUUAUGAACAGAAGGAAGGAAUUGUUUGUAAGGUGUGUUGAGAAAUUAUGAUGUUUCAUUUUUGCAGAGGUUUAUGUGUGAGAUUUUUCGGUCUGUAUCUGUGAGCAUGAGGAAAGAUUGAGGAAAGAUUGUGAGAGGUGAUUGAGUAGAAGGUGAGUUGGUUGUUGAGAGUGUUUCGGUUGAUGUGUGUGGUAUGCACAGGGAGUUAUUCUGGGCAGAGUUUGGUUUGAGGGGAUGAUUUUCGGCUAUAGGUUUGAAGGGAUUUGUUCUACCAUUUCUAUGCAAUGUUUGGCAUGCUGUGUGCAGCAAGGGUGCAGAGUUUUUGGAGUGUAGUGUUGGUUCAGGGCAGGCUUGACAAAUGAUGGUACAAAUAUGCAGAGUGCUGUUGGUGAAGGCAGAGGCGUGGGAUAGAGCAAGAAGUGAAGACAAAAUAUAUUAUUAUUUUUUUGUUUUCUUUUAGUGUAAAAAAAAAAAAAAUGUAAAUGGACCUUAUAGAAGAGAAUAAAUUGGGCCAAAACACACAAAGCCUUUUUG